AUCGUUUAAAGGCUCAACAUUCACAACUUCGCUAAUAAUGUCUAAAACAUACAACAUUAGAAUGAACUGGUGAACAAACAGAUCAUAAGUAGGAUACAUAAAAACACACCUUUUGAUAUAAUAAUUUCACCGGCUAUAGUUUCCUUUUCAUAUUGUCGUCCCAACAUUUCUUUAAAUUUCUUGAAAUAAUUAUUUAUAAACUCUUUCAAAAGAGCAUCACAAGGUAUGAUUUUGUUCGUUUAACAAAAAUUUAUCUUUUUUUCAACAAAAAAAUUAUCUUAAAAGGCAGAGAAUUCAUCAUUUACGGUAUAUCGCCAAAAGAACAUUUAUCAAUAAAACUCCACCCAUGGUAGAUAUAGAAGAGAAUCAACAACAAGGAAAUAAGUAGUCUCUGAAUCCUCUGCAGCCCCAAAACUUUCAGCACCGGUGACAAUGUUCUUUAGUUUUUCUUUCAGGUUUAUCUAUGAUGGCAGAAUCAACUAGAUGGAGCAACUCUGGAGAAACAUUUUGCAUUGUAUCCUUUGGUUUGGGUCUAUGUGGGGACUGAACCGGCGGCAAGAUGUAAGCCUCGAUCUGCAGAUCAAGGCAGGGUUCAAGACCAUACUCAGAUAUUCCGUCGAUUAUGCAUGUCGAGAAGCAGAGAGAACCCCGAGCAAAUUACCUCAUUUGGUUCCCAAUCACUCAGAUACCACUACUUUUAUCUUGACAUUGAUAGGUGAAGUGAAUUGACUUGGGUCCAUAGUGAGCUCCUUGUAGGAGUUGCGCUAAGGGAGAAAAUCAGCUAUAUAGACCAAGAAAAGAUAUGUUAGUGAGAUCUGCAGAGCAAGAUGAUAUAGAAGUUCAAAAGCAUCAAAUGGCAGAACAUUGUGAGAAGAACUGUGAGAAGCAAUGUGACUACGAAAUCAAGUAUGCUGAUCUUAGCUCUUCCCUUGGUGUUCUCAUCAACGAUGAGUUUGAUAUCAAUCUCCAGAACGGAUCAGUUGCCGACUUGUAUAUAUUGUUUUCAGGUGUGGAUAUGAUCAGCAAGGUCUACUGUUGAACACGCUGGUAAAAACAGACGGGAUAAUUGGUCUAAGCAGAGCUACAAUUAGCUUGCCUUCUCAACUUGCAAGCCGAGGUAUCAUCAGCAAUGUGGUUGGCCACUGCUUUCCCUCUGAUUUGAACGUCAAGGCUAUAUCAUCAUUGGAAGUGAUUUGAUUCCCUCACACGAAAUCACAUGGGUUCCUAUACUUCACCAUUCUCAAUUGGAAGUUUAUCAGAUGCAAGUUUCAAAAGACAUCUAUGAAAUUGAAGAAGAGCUGAAGCAAUUGAAAGAGUGUGUUUGAAGAUAAGUCCCUAACUGUUUGUAUGUUUGGUUGUCUUAAAAAUGAGUUACUAUUUGUAACUAAAAUAUAAUUUGUAAAUAUAUUAAUGUUUACAAUUGCUGUGUAGGUUCUGCAGUGGGCUCUUUAGAGGAUAAAGCUUUUUUACUUCAGUGAAGACAUGAGAGACAGACACAACCCUUCUCAAUAUGUCAUCAAAUGCAAGUUUCAAAAGACUUCUAUGUAUGCGAAGAAGAGCUGAAGCAAUUGAAAGAGUGUGUUUGAAGAUAAGUUCCUAACUGUUUGUAUGUUUGGUUGUCUUAAAAAUGAGUUACUCUUUGUAACUAAAAUAUAAUUUGUAAAUAUAUUAAUGUUUACAAUUGCUGUGUAGGUUCUGCAGUGGGGUCUUUAGAGGAUAAAACUUUUUUACUUUAGUGAAGACAUGGGAGACAGACACAACCCUUCUCAAUAUGUAAUCAAGAUUGAUGCUAAAGGGGUGAAGGGCAUAUCAGUGAUAGCUGUAAAGCUCCUAGAAUAAAGAAAACAGGGCUUGAGCUGAACAAAAGAGAAAAGGUGUUAUCUUUUCAAUGCCUGAAACUCAUGCCUCAACAUUCUCUAUACAAAGCAAAAGGUGAUUGUAAUCGAGAGAAAGAGUGGGAGAAUUCGGAAGAAGAGUUAUUGUUUUUGGUCGAUGAUAAUCAUGUUAAGGAUUUUCGAGUUAAGCUUGAUCUUCAAUUAUCAGAUUUUUAAGGAUCCUAAGGUCCCGUAGUCACCACUCACCACCAUUCACCAGCAGUAGCACUCAGUGCGUAUUACUCCUUACUAGAGAUAAUUUAUUAUACGUUAAAUCAAGUUUUUUUUUUUGCUUAAAUUAAAUCAAGUUUUUUGUUAUUGUUAUUUAAAUAAUAUCCUUAUCAAUCUCACAUCCCUCCCCAAUGCUAAAUACUUGAUUACAAAACACGUCAUAUCACAUUUAAACACUUGCCGGUCCACUUUUGUAAUGUUAGUUUGACUAGCAAAACUUCAUCAUAAACACAAAGAAAAAAAAUAUUUGAGCAUUAACAACUCUGAAAAAAUCAUAUCAUUUGAAUCUGUAAUUUCAUUUCAAAACUGGGUCCAGUAAUUAAUAUAAUUAUUUAUCAAAAUAAUAAUUUCGUUGGACAGCAAACUUUGCAGUUAUGGGUCAGUACCCAACUGCAACAAAACAACACAUGGUCUCUCAGAUCUCUUCUACAUCUGUCUCUCCCGUCAAUAUCACUUAUUAUUAAAGUAUCUUGAUUUGGUUAGAUUGUUAUUAAAAAUUAAGAAAUAUGAAAAUAGUUAAUACAUUAAUCGCGGUUUUGAGUGGGAAAGAGCAGAUGUGGACACGUGGUGGGAUAUGAUUGGUGAAAGGAACAGUCAAAGGCAACAAAGAAUAGACUGAGGAUAGAUCGAGGCUUACAGUCAAAGCAAGACACUGUCAUGGUCAAGUGUCUAGCUGGAGCUUUUGCUUGUGGUCCCCACUCUCUCUCUCCGCUUUUUCUCUUUUCUCUUUUCUAUUUAAAUUUCGUUUAUUCUCUAAGUAUAGUAUUUACUAUACUUUUCUAUUUAUACAAUUUUAUUUUUGUGUUCUAAUAAUAAUCCACGAAAUUAAGAAAUUAAAUUUUAACUUC